rnacentral:rRNA from 1 species
UACGUAGGGGGCAAGCGUUGUCCGGAUUUAUUGGGCGUAAAGAGCGUGUAGGCGGCCAGAUAGGUCCGUUGUGAAAACUGGAGGCUUAACCUCCAGCGGUCGAUGGAAACCAUCUGGCUAGAGUCCGGAAGAGGAGAGUGGAAUUCCUGGUGUAGCGGUGAAAUGCGCAGAUAUCAGGAAGAACACCCGUGGCGAAGGCGGCGCUCUGGGACGGUACUGACGCUGAGACGCGAAAGCGUGGGGAGCGAACAGG